UCCAACCACGAUAUGGGCAUCGAAAUGG
rnacentral:sRNA from 1 species